rnacentral:rRNA from 1 species
UACAGAGACUGCAAGCGUUAUUCGGAUUCACUGGGCGUAAAGGGUGCGCAGGUGGUUGUGUGUGUCAGAUGUGAAAUCCCGGGGCUUAACUCCGGAACUGCGUCUGAAACUGCACGACUAGAGCAUUGGAGAGGGUAGUGGAAUUCACGGUGUAGCAGUGAAAUGCGUAGAUAUCGUGAGGAACACCAGAGGCGAAGGCGACUACCUGGACAAUUGCUGACACUCAGGCACGAAAGCAUGGGGAGCAAAAGGG